CCGGUCCUCUCCGCACUCACUGCUCCGAGGACCAGCGCCUCCACCCGCUCCGCAACCGGCACCAUGCGCGAGAUCGUGCACAUCCAGGCAGGCCAGUGCGGCAACCAGAUCGGCGCCAAGUUUUGGGAGGUCAUCAGCGAUGAGCAUGGGAUCGACCCCACAGGCAGUUACCAUGGAGACAGUGACUUGCAGCUGGAAUGUGUAAACAAGAAGAAUCUGCCACCCUAGGACUGGGCCUACCUCCUUCUCCACAGUCAAAAUGACCAAAUGUGAAAUUCUUUAUGUUUUACAGUCUAACAUUCCCUUUUCCCUCUGGCAGGCCAGAGUGGAGCCGGAAAUAACUGGGCAAAGGGCCACUACACAGAGGGAGCCGAGCUGGUAGACUCCGUCCUGGAUGUGGUCAGGAAGGAGUCAGAAAGCUGUGACUGUCUCCAGGGCUUCCAGCUGACACACUCGCUGGGGGGCGGCACGGGGUCUGGGAUGGGCACUCUGCUCAUCAGCAAGAUCCGCGAGGAGUAUCCAGACCGUAUCAUGAACACCUUCAGCGUCAUGCCCUCGCCCAAGGUGUCAGACACAGUAGUCGAGCCCUACAAUGCCACUCUCUCCGUCCACCAGCUGGUGGAAAACACAGAUGAAACCUACUGCAUUGACAACGAGGCCCUGUAUGACAUCUGCUUCCGCACCCUGAAGCUGACCACCCCCACAUACGGGGACCUCAACCACCUGGUGUCGGCCACCAUGAGUGGGGUCACGACCUGCCUGCGCUUCCCGGGCCAGCUGAACGCAGACCUGCGCAAACUGGCCGUGAACAUGGUGCCCUUCCCCCGUCUGCACUUCUUCAUGCCGGGCUUCGCGCCCCUGACCAGCCGGGGCAGCCAGCAGUACCGCGCCCUGACGGUGCCCGAGCUCACCCAGCAGAUGUUCGACUCCAAGAACAUGAUGGCCGCCUGCGACCCCCGCCACGGCCGCUACCUGACGGUGGCUGCCAUCUUCCGGGGCCGCAUGUCCAUGAAGGAGGUGGACGAGCAGAUGCUCAACGUGCAGAACAAGAACAGCAGCUACUUCGUCGAGUGGAUCCCCAACAACGUGAAGACGGCCGUGUGUGACAUCCCGCCCCGCGGCCUCAAGAUGUCGGCCACCUUCAUCGGCAACAGCACGGCCAUCCAGGAGCUGUUCAAGCGCAUCUCGGAGCAGUUCACGGCCAUGUUCCGGCGCAAGGCCUUCCUGCACUGGUACACGGGCGAGGGCAUGGACGAGAUGGAGUUCACUGAGGCCGAGAGCAACAUGAAUGACCUGGUGUCCGAGUACCAGCAGUACCAGGAUGCGACCGCUGAUGAACAGGGGGAGUUCGAGGAGGAGGAGGGCGAGGAUGAGGCUUAAGAACCUGUCAAAUCGGUUGUGCAUCCUUAGUGAACUUCUGUUGUCCUCAAGCAUGGUCUUUUUAUUUGUAUACUAUGGUGCUCAGUUUUGCCUCUGUUAUAAAUUGACACUGUUGAUGUAAUAAUGUGGAAUUCCUCUAAAGAUUACAAUAUUGUCUGUUAAGAUAUCUAUACUAAUAAAAAAGCAUGUGUAUAAAA